rnacentral:rRNA from 1 species
AGAGUUUGAUCCUGGCUCAGAUUGAACGCUGGCGGCAUGCCUUACACAUGCAAGUCGAACGGCAGCACGGGAGCAAUCCUGGUGGCGAGUGGCGAACGGGUGAGUAAUAUAUCGGAACGUGCCCAGUAGUGGGGGAUAGCCCGGCGAAAGCCGGAUUAAUACCGCAUACGACCUGUGGGUGAAAGCGGGGGAUCGCAAGACCUCGCGCUAUUGGAGCGGCCGAUAUCAGAUUAGCUUGUUGGUGGGGUAAAAGCCCACCAAGGCGACGAUCUGUAGCUGGUCUGAGAGGACGACCAGCCACACUGGGACUGAGACACGGCCCAGACUCCUACGGGAGGCAGCAGUGGGGAAUUUUGGACAAUGGGCGCAAGCCUGAUCCAGCCAUGCCGCGUGUGGGAAGAAGGCCUUCGGGUUGUAAACCACUUUUGUCAGGGAAGAAACGGUUUGACUUAAUACGUUGAACUAAUGACGGUACCUGAAGAAUAAGCACCGGCUAACUACGUGCCAGCAGCCGCGGUAAUACGUAGGGUGCAAGCGUUAAUCGGAAUUACUGGGCGUAAAGCGUGCGCAGGCGGCUUUGCAAGACAGAUGUGAAAUCCCCGGGC